CAACAAACUAGGUGAUGCAGACCGAAAAGCAGAACUACGACUGCCUGUUUGUUGUUUUUAUUGGUCGUAG
rnacentral:ncRNA from 12 species